rnacentral:rRNA from 1 species
GAUGAACGCUGGCGGCGUGCCUAAUACAUGCAAGUCGAGCGAACAGACGAGGAGCUUGCUCCUCUGACGUUAGCGGCGGACGGGGGAGUAACACGUGGAUAACCUACCUAUAAGACUGGGAUAACUUCGGGAAACCGGAGCUAAUACCGGAUAAUAUAUUGAACCGCAUGGUUCAAUAGUGAAAGACGGUUUUGCUGUCACUUAUAGAUGGAUCCGCGCCGCAUUAGCUAGUUGGUAAGGUAACGGCUUACCAAGGCAACGAUGCGUAGCCGACCUGAGAGGGUGAUAGGCCACCCUGGAACUGAGCCACGGUCCAGGCUCCUACGGGAGGCCGCAGUAGGGAAUCUUCCGCAAUGGGCGAAAGCAUGACGGAGCAACGCCGCGUGAGUGAUGAAGGUCUUCGGAUCGUAAAACUCUGUUAUUAGUGAAGAACAAAUGUGUAAGUAACUAUGCACGUCUUGACGGUACCUAAUCAGAAAGCCACGGCUAACUACGUG